rnacentral:ncRNA from 1 species
UUUAUGGAGAGUUUGAUCCUGGCUCAGGAUGAACGCUGGCGGCGUGCUUAACACAUGCAAGUCGAACGGAAAGGCCCUGCUUGCAGGGUACUCGAGUGGCGAACGGGUGAGUAACACGUGGGUGAUCUGCCUCGUACUUCGGGAUAAGCCUGGGAAACUGGGUCUAAUACCGGAUAGGACCGGCCUUUAGUGUGGUUGGUGGAAAGUUUUGUCGGUACGAGAUGAGCCCGCGGCCUAUCAGCUUGUUGGUGGGGUAAUGGCCUACCAAGGCGACGACGGGUAGCCGGCCUGAGAGGGUGUACGGCCACAUUGGGACUGAGACACGGCCCAGACUCCUACGGGAGGCAGCAGUGGGGAAUAUUGCACAAUGGGCGGAAGCCUGAUGCAGCGACGCCGCGUGAGGGAUGACGGCCUUCGGGUUGUAAACCUCUUUCGCUAGGGAAGAAGCCACGUGUGGUGACGGUACCUGGAUAAGAAGCACCGGCUAACUACGUGCCAGCAGCCGCGGUAAUACGUAGGGUGCAAGCGUUGUCCGGAAUUACUGGGCGUAAAGAGCUCGUAGGUGGUUUGUCGCGUCGUUAGUGAAAGCCCGGGGCUUAACUCCGGGUCUGCUGGCGAUACGGGCAUAACUUGAGUGCUGUAGGGGAGACUGGAAUUCCUGGUGUAGCGGUGGAAUGCGCAGAUAUCAGGAGGAACACCGAUGGCGAAGGCAGGUCUCUGGGCAGUAACUGACGCUGAGGAGCGAAAGCAUGGGUAGCGAACAGGAUUAGAUACCCUGGUAGUCCAUGCCGUAAACGGUGGGCGCUAGGUGUGGGGG